GCAGGGUCAACCCAGGAGGAGCUCAGGUGCAUGCAGUGCAUUGAGUGACUGGAAGGGGUAGAUCCUGGUUCUAUCCCUUCCCAGACCUCAUUUGAAUACUACAGUGGAGGUGAGGGUAUCUGGUUGGAGAUCUCUGUGUGACAGUGGCCUUCUGAAAAAUAGAAAAGGAGGGAGGAAGGAAGAAAGAAAAAAAAAGAGGAAAAGAGAAAACUCAUUACUUAAGCUGAGCUGAAGGAAAAUACACUGCAAUAUGCACCCAGCACAAGGAGAGUGAAAUGGCACAGUGCUGGUGUAAUUGUAAAUGGCUAUAGAAAAUAUAAUCUUUUGUGAAGAAUUCCCAGGGCAUGGUCUCCAUUUAUCAGGAGCAGUACAAGAGCACUGUGCUGUAGCCAUGGACCACCCGCUGACCGGACAUCUCAGAUGCUCUCCAACAGUUUACUUUUACAGCCUGUACUGCAAAAGCCAACAUCAGCAUCACUUAAUAAGUUUGCAGAGAGAUGUAACUUCUCAUCUUCAACACAACUAGACUUGACGUGAGGAGCAGCAAAAAGGGAGAGUUCAGCAGUGUUCAGGACCAUGUUGCUUAGUGACAUUCCCAUACAAUCCAAGAGAUUUCAAGAGCAUCUGGCAAAUCUGAUAAUGAGCAGUACUGUAGGAAGAGAAACUUGGAGAAAUUGAGGCACAGUCUUACCGGGUUAUGCUCUAGCCUCAAGACUGGUGUCAGAGCAGGAGAGACUCCAACUCCUUUCACCCGAGUGGGUAGCAGUAGCCAAAAUUUCUUCAGUGUUUCUUCCAUGGCAUGCCUCCAAGUGGAGUCCUCAUAACAAAGCUGGACUAAUAUCCCAAAAAGGAGGCUCUGGAACAGAUGCAGGUGCUGGGAGAUCAGACACCUCUAGUCUGGUGGGAGCAAAAUGUGGAGACAAUAGCAAGACUGAGGUUUCAUAUGGUCACCCAUCUCCAUACAGCCUUCAGCAGGUAAGAGAGCUUCACUGCACAACAUGGGGAAACCAAAGGAGGGCAUCCAGUUCAUCAUGGUUAGCAUGGAAGCUUCUCCCACUGUGUUUAAACAACACUGCUUUGUGGACUAGAGCUAUGUGUAAAUAUCUUGGCUUCUCAUCAAGUAACAUUUCUCACCUCAUUUUGUUAAUGACUACCAGGAGGAAAGUAUUUGGUAUUCCUCAUGAACUCUCAUGGCAGUUCCAGGAAGGACAUAUUUAGGGUUUGUCGCCCAUCCCAGGCAAUAUUCAGCUUACAGAAGCUGCCAGGGAGCUGGAAGAUUGUAUAAGGACACGAAAGCAGCUGAGCUGGGUCUAACCACAAGUCCAUCUAGCCCUGCAGCCUGGAGAAAGUAAGAAUGAGACAAAUAUAUAUGCUAUUUCCCCCAGGACUGACUAAACAUAUUUAGUCUCUGCAUAUUUGCUAACUCAGUGAAUUGCUUCCUCAUGUACUCAUCCGUUCUCCUCCAGAUACCUUUCUGCAUCUGUGACAUCCUCCAUCUUCCUUUUCUUCCUGAUUCUGACCCUGUAUCCCCAGCCACAUUUAGUGCCCAACUCAUGGGUGCCAACCUCAGUCCCCCUUCCUUACUACCUCUAACAUACAGCAUCUGUGAGCUGCGUGUGGUGAAAGAGUUAAUGUUCAGCCCUCCAGCCAGCACACUCCAGCCACAGAGUAUGUGCAGAUAAUGCUCCACAUAUGUUCUGUACUAGACAGGUAUGCAAGACAAGAUAGCAAUCAGCUGACACAUUUUGUAGUUACAAAGGCUGAGAGUGCUGAGAACUCACGCACCAGGAGGAAGGAGAGGGCUCAGCAUGUUGGAGCACAACGCCAGGUUCUGCUUCGGCUCUGCACAAGUGAGAAAGCUUUCUUCAGUUCUCCUAGCUGAAAGUGUGUGAAUAGCUGAGGCUGGGGAAUAAGUUGCCCCCUGCCAACACACACAGACACACACACACAAUCGUUUCUUCCAUCCAUAUCUCCCCAGGGCAACUGAGUUUCUGGUUAAACCCAGUGCUGAGUCACUGACAAAUAAAUUCAAACCAAUAUGAAAGUCUUCCUACUUGACAGCAAUUCAAAAAAGCACAAAUGAGCAAAAGAGAUUGAAGAAACAGAAGUGAAGAAGCUGGGAGUCCUGAGGAGGAUCCUACAGGAGCUACCUCAGCACCUUCUCCCUGCAACAGCCUGCCCCAGCAAAAUCAGGGCCAUCUCUUUCCUGACACCCCUGCCAUAUAGUGACAAACCAGAAAAGUCUAAUGCUGAUUCCUGAGAGAUGCCAAGCAACCCUCCACUUCCAUGUCUUAUUAGGAGACGGCAGAGUUUUGCUCCUGGAAGGAUGAGAUCUUGGUCUUGGAGAGGAGACCCCUAUUUAUGGCUGGAUAUGAAUUACAGCCAUCUGAGCCUUUGUCCCAUGCUGUGAUGGGUGGCAGAGCUGCUGUCUGAGCUGUUCUGGCCAAUUUUUACAAUGGUGCCAUUAUACAUCAGCCAUCUGGUAGACGUAGCCUGUAUUUUUUCUGCAUCUAGCCCCGUGUUGGCAGAUGUUAGAUGGAAAGGAAGGUUGGCGGGCAGAACAGGGAUUUGACAUCUUGUCCCUUUUCCCCUUUGCUAACAUUCCUUUGGCUUGUAAGCCUGAUAAACCAGCAGACUGUUAUCAGAUAAGUUCUCUGCAAGGACAUGGCUUCGCAUGUUUUUCAUCCUUUUCUUUUAAGACUUCAACAGCCACUUACAAGCAGAUUUCCCAGGAUUCAGUGAGGAAAAGCCUGUCCAGUAAAGCAACUAAGUGAAAUUCUGAGUUUAGCUUUGUUUGUUGUAGGAAGGUGGAAAUGACACAUCCUCCAAAAUGUCCUUGGGGGUCACUGGUAUUCUUGGUUAUAAAAACUCUUGUGAGCAUCAAGGGCAAUGCAGAGUGUGUCUGGCAGAGGAAAGCAGAAGGAGGAUGGAGGCCUUCAACAGGUUGCAGCUGCACAGGUUUCACAUUCAGGCUGCCCCACAGCCCUUUAUCCUGUAAGGAAAGUAUGCAUUCUCCACCAAAUAUGGCUGUCUUGCCUCAGCUGAUGAUGCUGAUUGCUGUUAUUCAUUAUUUUAGGACUCAAACAGGGGAUUAAGGUCUCAUUGUUCUCAGCACUGGAUUAACAGAAUAAGGAUGAGAAGAUCUCUGGUAACCAAACCCAGCAGGAGAGGGACUCCUGACAGCCAGCCCCUCUGCUGGAUGAGCUAUCCUGGGGGCACUGGGCUGGAGCUAAAAGCAAAAGGAGAACCAAGCGAGCAGAUUUGCUGCCCGCACCACAAAGCUGCGGACGCAGCAGAGCUGUGCUCCUCUCCAAGCAGGCCUGGUGGCUUCUGCCAAGGGCAGACUCAUCAAGAAGUUUGUCCAAAGACAGUGUGUCUCACUCUCCGAGUUUAACAUGACGCCUUUUGGUCUCUGCAAUUCCCCUAGCACCUCUCAAAGGCGCAUGGAUUUGAUUUUGGCAGCUGUUCAGUGGGCCACAUGUUCGGCUGAUCUGGAUGAUGUGAUUGUUUUUGGGAGGACUUUCCAGGAACAUUAAAAUUGCCUGGAGGACGUGUGUAGCUGGCCAGAGCGGGCUGCUCUGAAAGCAGAAACCCAUCCAACUGUGACGAGUGCCGGUCCCAGGUGCAGUCUGUUGGUUGUAUCAUUUCUCCAGCAGGGUGUGCCUCUGCAUCCCACCAGGACAGGCACUCUUGACACAAACCUACCCCAGGAAUGGCAGCUGGAAGGAGACACUCUGGCCCUGCAUGAGGCAUGCGAGUCCUAGUUUUGCUUCAUAUUAUCUGGCAAAAGAGGAAGAAAGGGAGGGAGACAUGAAAGAAGAGCCUGGACCUGAAUCCGUGGCCUGGGGGCAGGCUUGCAGCAGCAUUUCUUAGCUUUCUCAAGGUGUGUGCAAUGUACUGCUGAGAUGCUGAUCCUGCUGCUUGUCAAUAUCGCUGCCUUCCUGCAGCACUACUUGGCAUUUGGACCUCAGUAAUGCAUCCCAGGGAGGUGGCACUGAGAAGUUCUGAACUGUACAGCACAGUGCUCCAGAGGGUUUCCUCCAGAGGAAGGAAAAAUAAAGACAAUCUUGAAUAAGCCGGGAAGAAAAAUAAGGGAUGUUCCUUGGAAUACAGUGUAGGGCUCCUUGUAGCUGGAGGAUCUUGUGGCUGAACAUCGGCCCAAGGAGCUGCCACGAGCAGGAGUGGUGGAGCCUGGGGUUGGUGUCACGCUGACUACCAGUGAGCAAAAGCAUGGGGUGCACUGCUCCAGCAGUAGCACUCUCAGAUCAGAUGAAAUAGAUCCCGAAACGCAGAGAUUUCCACUGUCAUGCUUGACAGAUAACGUCAGAAAAAGGACUCCGCUUUAAGACAGUUUUUCUGUCGUCAGGAGGAAAAAAAAAAAAAAAAAAAGUAGUACUGUGCCAGCUUCUCUAGAUACAGUGGAAAAUGGCCAGUAACAGGUGGCUUUCUAAGUGAGGCCACUAGAGAACAGUGAGCACAAUCCCAGCCCUGACUGCUCACUCUUUUCUUCCAGAGCCCUCCUGGCCGUCUCUCAGCAUCGUCCUCUAUGGACCUGUUUGGCCUCUCGGGAGGGGCACAGAUGGAUCUUUCAGCAGAGAAAUCCUGAGUUCAGAUGGGGAUACCUUUUGUGGAAGCCUUUUGUAAAGCAAACUUCACACAAACACUCAUGGCAUUCAAAACCUCCUUGGAGGCUCAUCACAUUUCUUCCCUAUUUGUAAUGUGCUUCAGCAAAACUCAUUGUCCAUCAAGUCCAUGUGUCCAAGAUCAUGUGGUAGGAAUCCUGGAGCGUGUGUGGAAUUGAUUGCAUUUUGCUGUUGAAUAUU